AGAAGUAUAAAAUAGUAAGAAACUUUAAAUUAUUUUCAAUUUAAUUUUUAAAGAUACUUUGAGAGGUGAUAGGAUGGAAAAGAAAAUAUGAUAUGCAUAAAUUGAAGGUCAUGAAUAUUUCUCUAAAAUUUAAAGGGAAGAAGAUACUAAAAAUAUUAUUAUUUGUUGUCCUAUUUCAUUUCAUUACAAUAAUACUAGUGUAUAAAUCCAGAACUAUUAGGUUGUUGUAAUAAAAUUUAAACAAAAACUCAAAUUAUUGAGGGUAAAAAUACAAUAUCCAAAUGACAUACGAUAACACAUAAAAUAUAUUAGGUGUUUGUGUCUUAUCUGGGGACUUUCAAUUAAAAACUAAAUUUGUAAACUCUUAAAGGAAUUUAUUUAUCUUCUCGGAUUAAGCAAUUCACGCACUAUUAUACAUUUACAAUUAGUGCGGUUCAUGCAUUUUCCUCUAUAAGGAGGUCGGCAAUAAAUUUUGUUUUCACAAUCUGAAUCAUCAAAACAUUUGAUUUUCUCUGCUGCAAUUAAAAAAACACUAUAAGGUUAUUAAAAUGAAAAAAAAAUACAAUGUAUGAAAUAAAAGAGAACAUUUAAAAUGAAUGAACAAAAGUUACCUUUAAUUUUCGUUCCAAUCAAAAACAGAGAGACUAACAUAAUCAUAACAUAAGCAAAUUUUACUAUUUGUACCAUAUUUCUCCUCGUUAUUUUUAUAAAUUAUUUUGUAACUUUGUAGUUUAUGAAUAAGAGUGGAUCCUCGCCUUUUAUAAUUUUUACUUGUGGACACUUAGUUGUAAAAUAAAUCUUAAAAUUAAAUUAAUUAGUAUAUAACUUUUCGAUACAUCAUUUUUUUGUCUUUGUCUCUUCAGCACAUCCAAAAAAGAUGUAAAAUAAAACAUGUCUAUCAUAAAAAUUUAUUCUUCUUAUAAUAAAAUUUUAAUCAUUUUAUAUUAUUUUACCUCGGAUGUGAAUGGGAGAUUACCUUAGUUAUAGAGAUGGGAUACCAAAGAGCGUCAUAAAAAACUAACAUCUUAUCGAUCGGUUUUGAAUAACCGAGGGGAAAGGUGAAAAAGUCAUUCAUUUGAUCCCCAGUGUAGGUCGGAUUUUUUUAAAAGUUAUAGAGAUGGGAUACCAAAGAGCGUCAUAAAAAACUAACAUCUUAUCGAUCGGUUUUGAAUAACCGAGGGGAAAGGUGAAAAAGUCAUUCAUUUGAUCCCCAGUGUAGGUCGGAUUUUUUUAAUAACUGAGGGGUAUAACCAAUGUUUUUUAAAAUUCCAUUUUAACUGACCUUGAUCAUUUUUUAUAUAGAUCCUACAAAUUAGGUGAGAGAAUCAUAUCAAUUGUAUUUUAUUUAGAAUAUAAAACAAAAUACCAAUUUUACAUUGUUUAUAAAAGCAAAUGUACAAUCCUUGCAAUACUUAUCGUGAUAUUUGGUAUACACAAAACCUAUGCCAAGAGAACCUAUACAUAUUUUCACCUAAAUUGACAAAACAUUUACACAAUGCUAGUGUAUAGAUAAAAAUCAAGAAAAACUAGUGUUUACUAGAUUCAUAAUGACAUAAGAAGACACUUGCACAACGUGAUCGGAUGUCAUCUAUAUCCUCUUGUGGAAAUGGUGUUUUAUUGCUAGACGCUUAUAAUUUGAACAAAAUUUAAAUUAUGAUAAGAUAACUACAACAAUAAUAAAUAACAAUUAUACAUAAAUUACAUGUAUAUGGAUAAAGUUAAUACCUUAUUCAAUGAAUUAAUAAUGCCAUUAGAGAAAAUAUUAGACAUAUGUAUCAUAGUAUUAUAUCGACAUAUAAAGUUCUGUGAAUACAUAAAUUACAUGUAUAUGGAUAAAGUUAAUACCUUAUUCAAUGAAUUAAUAAUGCCAUUAGAGAAAAUAUUAGACAUAUGUAUCAUAGUAUUAUAUCGACAUAUAAAGUUCUGUGAUUAUCUUCGCUGCUACAAAUAAUUUUCAUAUUGUUACUAAUUAAUACACACAAGACACAAGUAAUACAUUAGAGAAACUAAAAUAAUAUCAAAAAGCAUAAGUAAUACUUACACGUGGUUCUAUGAACUUUAGCUUUUUACCCUGUAUAUUACGUUUCACAAAAUUGUAUCCCUCCAAAUCAUUACAUGAUGGUAAAAAUCAAACAUGAAUAAAACUUUUCAAGACUAAAGGUAAAAUUUGAGUAUUCCAAAUAAUACCACUUACGCACUUAAAAUCUUUUGUAUAUCUUCAUCAAGAUGACAAUGUAACCAGCAUAACAUAACUAUAAUAUUUUUCUUCUGACAUAAAAUAAUUAAUUGCAAAUGUUUGCUACAUAAAAACAUAGAAUAAUUACCAAUGUGUGUAUAAAAUUGAUUUAUAAAUGAAAACACAAAUUAAAUCAUAUACUUAAUUAUGGAUAAAUUAUGACAUGUAAUAUUCUUUAUUCUCUUUAACCAACUUGUUUGUAUGCGUAUAUGGAUAUUGUUGGUUAAAUUACCUUAAAAUUGAAUGUUCAAUGAAUCUAUGAAAUAAUAUGCUUUCAAUUUUCUUUCGACACUUGUCUCAUGCAUGACCCUAAUUAAAAGGUAAUGCAAAUGUCAAAAUUUUAUGUUAAAGUAUGAGAACAAUGAAUUAUGGAAUCUCGUCUAUCAUACUAAAUAAUCUUUUUCAUUUCCAUUUAGUUAGAUUUGCAAAUAAGAGUGUUAGAUUACAUUAUUUUAUUUCCUCUGAAUACUAUGUUGUAUGAUAUAAACAGAGAAAAUUAUUGUUUUAUUAGGGUGCUUGAGUAGAGGUUGUAUCUCGCUCCAACUGAAUUGAUAAAACAUCAUUCGUUUGUGAAACGUUUUUUAGUCGCGCUGAGGAAGAAGUAAGAUUCAUGGGUUGAAAUUAUUUUUAGGUUGAAGAUGAUUAUUCGAAAGGAAAGAUAUACUCCUUUUAUAGAUAAAAGUAAAAAUAAAAUUAGAGAGGAAAUGACUCGCUCGUAAUGAGCGUAUUGGCUCUCUGCAUUUUAAAACAGGGUUCUAGGGUCACAUCCUCUUCAAGUAAUUUCUUGACUAACAUGUAUCCUCUAUUUAAGACUCAUAUAAAGUUUGAAUAAAAAACUUUAUGACACAGAGAAAGAAAAUUAUUAAUAGAAGAGGUAACAAGUCUUGAAUGGAUAAAAUACAAAGAUUAUUAGUGAAAUAAAAUCUACUAAAGUACGAAUAUUCUGCUCUUACUACACACAAGUAAACAUUUAAUAUUAAUCUCCAUAAAAAAUUUCUUAUGGUUAUUAUAAAAAUAAACAAUUAAUUAUAUCUCCAUAGUUUUUUCAAAGGUUAUUAUAUGUGUAUUGAUAUUUUAUUUGUUUGCAUCUUUUAAAGGUGAACAAGGCCACCGUAACUAUUAAAAAGUAAGAGAAAUAUAAAUUGAAGAAUGAGAAAGAUCAAUAGCUUUAUAAUAUUAUUAUAUAAAUAUAGAAGUAUAAAAUUGUAAGAAACUUUAAAUUAUUUUCAAUUUAAUUUUUAAAGAUACUUUGAGAGGUGAUAGGAUGGAAAAGAAAAUGUGAUAUGCAUAAAUUGAAGGUCAUGAAUAUUUCUCUAAAAUUUAAAGUGAAGAAGAUACUAAAAAUAUUAUUACUAUGUUGUCCUAUUUCAUUUCAUUACAAUAAUACUAGUGUGUAAAUCCACAACUAUAGGUUGUGAAAAUAAAAUUUAAACAAAAAAAAUUAUUGGGGUAAAAAUACAAUAUCCAAAUGACAUACGACAACACAUAAAAUAUAUUAGGUGUUUGCGUCUUCUCUAGGGACUUUCAAUUAAAAACUAAAUUUGUAAACUCUUAAAGUAUUAUUAUCUCCUGGGAUUAAGCAAUCACGCACUAUUUUACAUUUACAAAUAAGUUUGCUUAUGCAUUUUCCUCUAUAAGGAGGCCGGCAAUAAUUUUUUUGAUAAUCUGAAUCAUCAAAACAUUCGAUUCUCUCUGCUGCAAUAAAAAACACUAUAUGGUUAUUAAAAUGAAAAAUAUAACGUAUGAAAUAAAACAGAACUUUAAAAUGAAUGAACAAAAGUUACCUUUAAUUUUCGUUCCAAUAAAAAUAGAAAGAAUAAUAUAAUCAUAACAUAAGAAAAUUAUUACUUCUACCAUAUUCUCCUCGUUAUUUUUAAUAAAUUAUUUUGUAACUUUAUAGUUAUGAAUAAGAGUGGAUCCUGCCUUUAAUAAUUUUUACUUGUGGACACUUAGUUGUAAAAUAAAUCUUAAAAUUAAAUUAAUUAGUAUAUAACUUUUCGAUACAUCAUUUUGUUGUCUUUGUCUCUUCAGCAUAUCCAAAAAAGAUGUAAAAUAAAACUUGUCUAUC
rnacentral:lncRNA from 1 species